UAAAGCACUGUCAAAGGAAGGGAAUCCAGAGAUGUUUUGAAAGAUGCAAAAGUAAAAUUCCACAACCAGAAUCCUCACUGCCUAGUAAUCUCCACACCAAAAUUGAAAGAGAGUGAAUGAUAUGAGUGCAGCAAACCAAGAUGUGAACCAAAUGAAUUCUAUAAAUUAUUUCUACAGAUAUUAAGUUGUAAGUAGGGCACUCGAAUUGUUUGGUAAAAUUCCAGAAGGGAAAGACACGCCGUACUGAUUGCAACAGCCAGCUUACAUAGAUAAGUCACAUGAAAUGUUUCUUAUAAUGCCUCAAAAGCAUCGAUCAGGCAGUUGAAAGGUCGUGGAUUGUUGAAACAGACAAAUGUAACCAGUCAAGGUAAGGUACACAAGAAUUGUGUGAUCUUUCGUAUAAAGAAGGUUGUGCAGCUACAGAUUGCCGCCAACUGUUUGACAAAAUGCUCUGCUAAAUCUAUAUACAAAAUGUUCUGUUAAAUCUUUAUCGACAAAGGGAUGUGAACGGAUUGUUUAGUAAAAUAUGUGGCAUCAUACUUAUGGUCGAUUCAACUCAAAGGAGAAACCCACUCUUGGCGAUGCGCAGAUUAAAACCCACAGUCGGAGUAUUGCAUACUCUUUGGAAUUUAGAGCAUUUGCAGAUGCGAACACCUUAGAAGAAGCGUACAACCACACCCCUCUUUGUCAAGUAUUUUUUAUUGGAUACCAUUUCAACACUUGUAGGAAACCUAAAAGUAAAUAAUGGAGACCGAAUUUGUGGAUUCUUCUGCUAUUAUAGUUUUAUCUAAUGGUGGAGGGUUUGUCCUCUGUGCCAUGUUUGGAAUAAAGAAUAAAGCUUUUAUGGCAUCCUCUAGUAAGAAAGCACAGUGGCUCGUUAUGCAAAAGAAUCUUCAAGCAAAUUGCUUUGGGAAUUGUUAUCCUUGGAGAUGUGGGAUACAAGACUUUGACCAAGGAUGGUGAUUGUGAGAAUUCUUAUAGAAAUAUUGUUAUUUUCACAUUAUUCCCAUUUCUGCAUAAUGCUUUGAUCCUAGCAUUUAUUUUGCUAAUACCCACAAAACUGUGAGAAAUUAUGAAAUUAAGGGAUUAUUUUAUGAACAUAUUGGCUACAGGUUUACUUAAUCUAAACGAUAUGGGUAAACAAUUGGCCAACUUGAAAUCUUGAACUGAAAUUUUAUUUUAUUUUCCAAGCAUGCUGGUUAAAAUUACAAAAUCUUGAGUUGCCAUUGUGGCAUCAUAUUGUGGUGUUUGAAGUUUUGAAGAGUUUUUGUUCUGCAACUUCUCUUUGAAUUUUUUUGACAUUAAACAGGGUAACACAAAUGUAGUGACUGGGAUGAUCAAAGCACUUGGGAAACUGAUUGCUAAUGUGCAGAUUCCAGAUGCUAGUGAAAAGAGUUUUGUUAUUGUUAAUGGUAUGUUCAGCAAGAAAAGAUAAAGGUGUUGAGUGGAGCAUGGACGAUAAUGCAACUAAUGCAGUAGUGAUGGUUACAAGUGAGGCACAUACAAUCAAAUUAGUAGUUGAAGAGUUGCUGGGAGUAGUGACACUAACAAAUGAAGUUGAUUAAAUAAUUUAGAGGUAGGGGAUAUUUCUGAAAUAUAGAUUAUACAUGGAGAACGCAUUAAUGGGGACUUCUUUGAUGAGAAAGGUGGUAGUGAACGUCUUCUAGAAUUUGCAAGUGAAGCAGGGUAACACAAAUGUAGUGAGUGGGAUGAUCGAAGCACUUGAACAACUGAUUGCUAAUGUGCAGAUUCCAGAUGCUAGUCAAAAAAGUUUUGCUAUUGUUACGGGUAUAUUUAGCAAGAAAGGCAAAAGGUUUUGAGUGGAGCAUAAACAAUUGUGCAACCAAUGCAGUAGUGGUGGUUACAAGUGAGGCACAUACAAGCAAAUUAGCAGUUAUAUUUUGAUAAAUCAUAGCCCACACCUUGCCAUAAAGAUACUUUGAUUAUAUAAAAAUGAUUUAGAAGGUGUGCACAAAUGGGCCAAGUUGCACAGUAAUGUUUUAUGGUGACAUGACAAUAGUGACGUUGCAAGUAUGGUGAUCAAUAUAAUUGCUAUGUGCUUUAAAAGCAGAAUAGCAUUAAGAAUGGAUUGCUCGUGUAGGGAAUUUCGUAAAAGACAAUACAUAGCAUUAAUAUUGAUAAAAUAGAAAUA